AAACCACACCCCGCACGGCAGAGGGGGGCACCAGAGCUAAGGCGAGUCCAUGAAGCGCACUCCCUCUGAGACAGACGCACAGAAGCCCGGAGGGCACCAGUUUGCUAGGGUCUGCUCACGCCAUCCUUGGGAGACAGACAUCGGCUUUUCACGCUCGCGUGUCUCCUCUGGAGAUUCUGGUUCUGCCCUGCACACACUGGGAGCCCGCGAAAUGUCUGAAUGGACGCCUGAAUGACAAAUGGGAUUUGCCGACAGCAACACCGGGGAAGUACCAGGCCUACAGGAGAAUGGCCCUCUUUCUUCUCAAGCAUCCUGUUCUUCCCUCCCAGUCCCCUCUUGCCCUCCUCUUCUUUGUAGGGGAAGUCUCGGAGACCUGUGAUGGCUUCCUCCAGCCAGAAGGACUGGGGGCUGGAGCCUCCACAGGGCUACACAGACGCUACAGACCGAAUGUGCUGCUCUUAGAAAUUCCAGCUCACUUAAAAAUGAUCUGAGAAGUUCCUAGAAGGUCAGAUGUCACCCCCAUCAAUGUUGACAGUGCUCACCAGCAAUUCGAUUCAAUCUCAUUCUAGUCUGGUCAAUGAAGCAAAGAUACUUAUUUUCCGAAAGUAUCAGUCUAAGGAGUAAUUAAAGUGCUUCUCCUCUAUGUCCAGCUCUGUGCUAGGCUCUGUCAGGGGGAGAAGACACUGUUUUGCCCUCUAGAAGUUUAUAGACUAGUUGGGCAACAGAACCAACCUAUGCGAAGCAGAAGAAAACAAGUCCACACACCGCUGCCUUUCACCAUGACUGGGCAGAGAGGUCAAGAGGAAGGACAUAUCGUGUGCCUGGGUGUGCAAGGAUGGCUUCUUGGAAAAGGUGGUCUUGAUCUGGGCUUUGGACAACAGGGAGGAUUAGGACAAACUGAAGUCUGAUGAGCGCAGAGCUGAGUGCUGCCUUCUGGACCUCCCUUCGUUACACCGGAGAAGGCCUCCUAGGGUUUGUGGCCUUCACUUACUUCCCUCUAGCUCUCCAAAGUGAGAGAGUGAGAUUUCUGGGAAAAGUCAAGAUAUGUAGAACUAACAGAAUCCACCGGGGCACAUUUAUUCUGGCCUCAUCAGGUGACCGCCUGGAUGGUAAAUGAGUCUGGUUGCAGAGAAAGGACUGGUGCUCCCAGUGUCGUCUGAGAACCAUGCAAGAUGGGAGGAAGCUAAUCUGAAGAGCAGUGGUUCUUGACGUUGGGGGUCUGAGACCCCAUGGGAAACGUGAGGAAAGCCCUCUCUACAAAAAAUGCUCCUGAGCACAAAAGGUGGCGUUUAAUGGCAGGGUUCACAGAUCCUGCCCCCGGGCGCUGAGCUCAUCCGGGAUCUGUGGUAUACACAGGUGCAGUCUGGAAAGGCUGCUGGGCAGCCGAGUGCUGGAGGCCCUGUGCUUUCUGGGAGUCUCUAGCCCCACUUUGGGGUCAAGAACAGGGCUUUCAUCUCCCUUCACAGCCACUAGCCUGACAAGCACAAGAGUGGAUGGAAUAACCUUUGUACUCACCUACCCCAUCCCAUAGCACCAGGGGUCUCCCUUCUCAUUAAAGGCAGGGACCCCUUUUUCCCUUUAGUCAAUGGAGUCAGUUUCCUCAGACAUCAAAUAUUUUUCCUUUCCUAUAGUUUUUCAAAAUUAACUGGAUUAAAUCAUUUCUCCUUUGCAGUUCUUGUCUGUCCUUGAACAUGAAAAUGGCCCAGCACCCAGCAUGGUACCUUUACUAGUAGGAGUUCAAAAUAAGAUUUUUAUUAAUUUAUAAAGAAUGGCUAUAUUUUAUUGAAUGCCUACAAUGUGCAGACACUGAGCAAAGGGCUUCAGAAGCAGGAUUUCAUUGACUGCUGUGACUACUCUAUGAAGAGGAUACUAUUAUUGGGCCCAUUUUACAGAUGGCGAACUAGGUGCUUGUGGUGCACAGAGGUUAAAUUGGUGAAGUGGCAGAGGAGGGAGUCGAACCAAGGUCUGCUUGCAGAGUCUGGGCAUAUAACCACUACCCUGUAUUGCUGAGCAAUAUAACUGUUCGGUUUAUGUUGGAUACGCUGACCAUGAUUUGGCAGGAGCAGAAGAAAAAAAGGAAUCCACAGAACUGCCCAGAUGCCAGGCAAGUUAAUCGAUGCCAGCACAACGGAGCACUGCUGCAAAGGCCAGGGCCUCUGCCCCUCCUCCAGGCAGGUCUCAGGGGCAACCUGAGCUGGAUGCAAGGACAAGCCAGAGCAACAACACCUUACUGGUGUUUUAUUUCAGCGAUGGCCCAGGCAGGAGGGAAACCACCUCAUUGAAAGAAUUGGCUCAUUCUGGAAUGGAGAUCCAUUUCCGACGGCCCCCUCCCACGUCUCCUGAGCUGGCUGGUGUCAGAGGGAGGAUAUUUUCAUAAGGAUGAACUGUUCUUGAACGUUUCCUGCCACUGCACAGGUCUCCCUUCAGUAGUCACAGGGCCUGUUAUCUAACACCUCCCUCUGCUUCCAAACAUAUUCAAACGAAAAUAAAGCCCCUCUAUGAAAAGUUUUUGAGUUUUCGGGAGUGAGCUGGUCUGAACUGGGGGUAGGAACAGGCAUAGUGUACUAUCUCUACUCCCUGCUAUGGUGGGAAGGCUGAGAAGUAUUUGGUUCAAUUCAGGGCACAUUUUCUCAAGUGUCUGGAAGAGUGCUGGGCACUAAGUUUGUGGUAGGAGAAUGUCAGGCUUUUGCCUAAGAUCCCACCAUUAAGUAGUCACUUUGUGAAAAUGCUUAGUUAGCAUUCUGCGGACAGGAUUCAAAGUGUCUGUGAACUUGAAUGGGGAAAACAUUGCAUCUUUAUUUGCACUAACCUCUAAGUGAAAUUUAGCAGUUCCUUCAAGAAUGUAGGCAUAGCCCCAACCAGUUUGGCUCAGUGGAUAGAGCAUCGGCCUGCGGACUGAAGGGUCCCAGGUUCGAUUCCAGUCAAGGGCAUGUACCUUGGUUGCGAGCACAUCCCCAGUAGGGGGUGUGCAGGAGGCAGCUGAUCGAUGUUUCUCUCUCAUUGAUGUUUCUAACUCUCUAUCCCUCUCCCUUCCUCUCUGUAAAAAAUCAAUAAAAUAUAUUUUUAAAAAAAGAAUGUAGGCAUAAACCAUCAUAGUAUUGGGCAAUACCUAUACCUUCCCUACCAGCAGAAACCACAGAUAUUGUCACAUCACAUGAGCCUCGAUGCAGACAUCUUGAAAUACUUACGCUCAUCAUUACUUUGAAAUUAUGGUAUUUAUUAGACCCUACUGCUAGAUCUUGCGAUGUAAAAUGUUAAUAAAGAAGCACAUAUAUUACUA